UGAGCAGGUGAAUCAGAUUCCUAUAAGGG
rnacentral:piRNA from 1 species